UUCGCCCUUAGAGUUUGAUCCUGGCUCAGGACGAACGCUGGCGGCGCGCCUAACACAUGCAAGUCGAACGGAGCUUAAAGAGCUUGCUUUUUAAGCUUAGUGGCGAACGGGUGAGUAACGCGUGAGUAACCUGCCCUGGAGUGGGGGACAACAGUUGGAAACGACUGCUAAUACCGCAUAAGCCCACGGAUCCGCAUGGAUCUGAGGGAAAAGGAUUUAUUCGCUUCAGGAUGGACUCGCGUCCAAUUAGCUAGUUGGUGAGGUAACGGCCCACCAAGGCGACGAUUGGUAGCCGGACUGAGAGGUUGAACGGCCACAUUGGGACUGAGACACGGCCCAGACUCCUACGGGAGGCAGCAGUGGGGGAUAUUGCACAAUGGGGGAAACCCUGAUGCAGCGACGCCGCGUGGAGGAAGAAGGUUUUCGGAUUGUAAACUCCUGUCGUUAGGGACGAUAAUGACGGUACCUAACAAGAAAGCACCGGCUAACUACGUGCCAGCAGCCGCGGUAAAACGUAGGGUGCAAGCGUUGUCCGGAAUUACUGGGUGUAAAGGGAGCGCAGGCGGACCGGCAAGUUGGAAGUGAAAACUAUGGGCUCAACCCAUAAAUUGCUUUCAAAACUGCUGGCCUUGAGUAGUGCAGAGGUAGGUGGAAUUCCCGGUGUAGCGGUGGAAUGCGUAGAUAUCGGGAGGAACACCAGUGGCGAAGGCGACCUACUGGGCACCAACUGACGCUGAGGCUCGAAAGCAUGGGUAGCAAACAGGAUUAGAUACCCUGGUAGUCCAUGCCGUAAACGAUGAUUACUAGGUGUUGGAGGAUUGACCCCUUCAGUGCCGCAGUUAACACAAUAAGUAAUCCACCUGGGGAGUACGGCCGCAAGGCUGAAACUCAAAGGAAUUGACGGGGGCCCGCACAAGCAGUGGAGUAUGUGGUUUAAUUCGAAGCAACGCGAAGAACCUUACCAGGUCUUGACAUCGAGUGACGAACUUAGAGAUAAGUUCUUCCUUCGGGACACGAAGACAGGUGGUGCAUGGUUGUCGUCAGCUCGUGUCGUGAGAUGUUGGGUUAAGUCCCGCAACGAGCGCAACCCUUAUCAUUAGUUGCUACGCAAGAGCACUCUAAUGAGACUGCCGUUGAUAAAACGGAGGAAGGUGGGGAUGACGUCAAAUCAUCAUGCCCCUUAUGACCUGGGCUACACACGUACUACAAUGGUGAUCAAACAGAGGGAAGCAACACAGCGAUGUGAAGCAGAACCCGAAAAAUCAUCUCAGUUCAGAUUGCAGGCUGCAACUCGCCUGCAUGAAGUCGGAAUUGCUAGUAAUCGCGGAUCAGCAUGUCGCGGUGAAUACGUUCCCGGGCCUUGCACACACCGCCCGUCA
rnacentral:rRNA from 1 species